CGACGCUAAAAGUGCUGAUGAGUUCCCGAAGUGGUUCAUCACGCUUUUCGAGAGCGAACCAAGGCGCUGCUCGAUUGAAACUUUCGCCGAACACUUUUUUGGACUGAUCAGGACGCAAACGGAAGAUUUCACAAAAUGCGCUCCAUCGAUAUGCGACACUCCAAAGAAAACCAACCCGGUGUCAGUCAGGAAGACGUCAAUCACAUUCCCGUCCGAAGAGAUCAAAAUCGAGAA